rnacentral:rRNA from 1 species
GAUGAACGCUGGCGGCGUGCCUAAUACAUGCAAGUCGAGCGAACAGACGAGGAGCUUGCUCCUUUGACGUUAGCGGCGGACGGGUGAGUAACACGUAGGUAACCUACCUAUAAGACUGGGAUAACUUCGGGAAACCGGAGCUAAUACCGGAUAAUAUUUCGAACCGCAUGGUUCGAUAGUGAAAGAUGGCUUUGCUAUCACUUAUAGAUGGACCUGCGCCGUAUUAGCUAGUUGGUAAGGUAACGGCUUACCAAGGCAACGAUACGUAGCCGACCUGAGAGGGGGAUCGGCCACACUGGAACUGAGACACGGUCCAGACUCCUACGGGAGGGAGCAGUAGGGAAUCUUCCGCAAUGGGCGAAAGCCUGACGGAGCAACGCCGCGUGAGUGAUGAAGGUCUUCGGAUCGUAAAACUCUGUUAUUAGGGAAGAACAAACGUGUAAGUAACUGUGCACGUCUUGACGGUACCUAAUCAGAAAGCCACGGCUAACUACGUG